ACAGUAAGAGCUUGCUCUUAUGGGUGGCGAGUGGCGGACGGGUGAGGAAUACAUCGGAAUCUACUCUGUCGUGGGGGAUAACGUAGGGAAACUUACGCUAAUACCGCAUACGACCUACGGGUGAAAGCAGGGGAUCUUCGGACCUUGCGCGAUUGAAUGAGCCGAUGUCGGAUUAGCUAGUUGGCGGGGUAAAGGCCCACCAAGGCGACGAUCCGUAGCUGGUCUGAGAGGAUGAUCAGCCACACUGGAACUGAGACACGGUCCAGACUCCUACGGGAGGCAGCAGUGGGGAAUAUUGGACAAUGGGCGCAAGCCUGAUCCAGCCAUACCGCGUGGGUGAAGAAGGCCUUCGGGUUGUAAAGCCCUUUUGUUGGGAAAGAAAUCCAGCCGGCUAAUACCUGGUUGGGAUGACGGUACCCAAAGAAUAAGCACCGGCUAACUUCGUGCCAGCAGCCGCGGUAAUACGAAGGGUGCAAGCGUUACUCGGAAUUACUGGGCGUAAAGCGUGCGUAGGUGGUCGUUUAAGUCCGUUGUGAAAGCCCUGGGCUCAACCUGGGAACUGCAGUGGAUACUGGACGACUAGAGUGUGGUAGAGGGUAGCGGAAUUCCUGGUGUAGCAGUGAAAUGCGUAGAGAUCAGGAGGAACAUCCAUGGCGAAGGCAGCUACCUGGACCAACACUGACACUGAGGCACGAAAGCGUGGGGAGCAAACAGG
rnacentral:rRNA from 1 species